AGUUUUCGGUACUUUUGUACGCUCACGUACAGGCUGCCGGGAAUACUGCAAAGCUAGGGAGUGGGAGAGGUAGACGGUACUCGGUAGGAAGGGGUAAAAUCCUUUUGAUCUAUUGAUGACCACCUGUGGCGAAGGCGGUCUACCAGAACACGUCCGACGGUGAGGGAUGAAAGCUGGGGGAGCAAACCGGAUUAGAUACCCGGGUAGUCCCAGCUGUAAACCAUGCAAACUCAGUGAUGCAUUGGCUUGUGGCCAAUGCAGUGCUGCAGGGAAGCCGUUAAGUUUGCCGCCUGGGAAGUACGUACGCAAGUAUGAAACUUAAAGGAAUUGGCGGGGGAGCACCACAAGGGGUGAAGCCUGCGGUUCAAUUGGAGUCAACGCCAGAAAUCUUACCCGGAGAGACAGCAGAAUGAAGGUCAAGCUGAAGACUUUACCAGACAAGCUGAGAGGUGGUGCAUGGCCGUCGCCAGCUCGUGCCGUGAGAUGUCCUGUUAAGUCAGGUAACGAGCGAGAUCCCUGCCUCUAGUUGCCACCAUUACUCUCAGGAGUAGUGGGGCGAAUUAGCGGGACCGCCGCAUUUAUUGCGGGAGGAAGGAAGGGGCCACGGCAGGUCAGUAUGCCCCGAAACUCUGGGGCCACACGCGGGCUGCAAUGGUAACGACAAUUGGUUUCGAAUCCGAAAGGAUGAGGUAAUCCUCAAACGUUACCACAGUUAUGACUGAGGGCUGCAACUCGCCCUCACGAAUAUGGAAUCCCUAGUAACUGCGUGUCAUUAUCGCGCGGUGAAUACGUCCCUGCUCCUUGCAC
rnacentral:rRNA from 1 species